rnacentral:rRNA from 1 species
UACGAAGGGGGCUAGCGUUGCUCGGAAUUACUGGGCGUAAAGGGAGCGUAGGCGGGUCGUCAAGUUGGGGGUGAAAGCCCAGGGCUCAACCUUGGAAUUGCCUUCAAAACUGACGAUCUAGAGUAUGGAAGAGGUAAGUGGAACUCCGAGUGUAGAGGUGAAAUUCGUAGAUAUUCGGAAGAACACCAGUGGCGAAGGCGGCUCACUGGUCCGGUACUGACGCUGAUGUGCGAAAGCGUGGGGAGCAAACAGG